rnacentral:lncRNA from 1 species
AGUUAAGUAUAACAUAAUUUAAAUACACUACUGUAAGUAUGUUCAAAAAAGCACAAUUUAAAUAUAUUUCCUUUGCACCUGGGCUGCAGGACUACAGCAGAAGUGAAACUGGUGUGUUUCAGUUCAGAUCAUGUAACCAAUCAAACAGUGACUCUGGGAGUGUGGGCUGAAAAUCCCAUUUGCAUUGUCAGGGUGGAGUGAUUGUGAUCCUCUCAGAAUAGAGCAGCUCUGUCUCCAGAGACCAUGUUCAAACCCCAAGAGCUUUAUUUGACUAGAUUUACUGCUUCUGAAAAGCACCUGGACAAACACUACAUGCAUCUUCAUCUGUUAGUUGAAUGAUGUUGUCAGACACAAAUGGAGUUUGUUGAGAAGCUUUAUUGAAUGUUGCAGCAAACACAGCAGAUUGAAAGAUCAGCCAGUGCUUUGACACUAGAGCUCUCUUUCAGUAUUGAGUUGUAAAUGACUACAGCUGCAGCACUAGACUCAUGUGAAUCCUGCCUGACACAGGACACUCAGAUACGCUCAUCUUCAGGAGAGAGCAGCGCUCACUGGAGAAAACAUCAGCACUGCGAGCGACUAACAGCGACUCUUGUGGAACGAGGCCUCAUGAGGAGCUCCAUCAUGUGUUACUCUGCAGACGUACAGCUCUCCCUCUUCCCAGCGUGCUUUGCUGAGGGUCAGGACACUACUGCGGCUGUAGCAACCGUCCUGCUCGCUCUCUGCACUUUUGUAUAAAAUGUGCUUGUAGUAUUCACUGGAUUACAAGAAAAACACGAGUAAAAGAGAUUCAAAAUCAUUGACUGAACCAGAGAAAGUAAAGCUACAUUUAUAUUUUAAUGUCAAUCACAGUCACACUUUAUUAUAAAGUCCAAUUCUCUGUAUUAACGAACAAUUAUUCACGAAUUGCUGAGGGUCAGGACACUACUGCGGCUGUAGCGGCCGUCCUGCUCACUCUCUGCACUUUUGUAUAAAAUGUGCUUGUAGUAUUCACUGGAUUACAAGAAAAACACGAGUAAAAGAGAUUCAAAAUCAUUGACUGAACCAGAGAAAGUAAAGCUACAUUUAUAUUUUAAUGUCAAUCACAGUCACACUUUAUUAUAAAG